CCCCUUACCCUCAGGAUCACAGGUCACCACUUUGUUUCCGUAAACUUUGCCCAGACCUCUAGAGUCAGAUCCAAAGAUCAGCUUCUGGCGAAAACUUGCCCUCAGUAAGGUUUCUGUCACUGCACACCCACCUCGUUAGCCUUCCGUGGAACAGCCCUCUGUACGGAAUGAGUACCAAGAUGGCGGCCUUCAUGGAGAAACGUCCCGGCGCAGCCAUGUUCAUCUCCUGACAACGCCGCUCUUGACCAAAGUCUUUGCGGAUCCGUAACAGCACCUUGUUCAGUGAUUUCUUGGUCUCUCUGUGGAGCCAUUGAGUCUUUCCCUGUACUGGAGGCUGCAGGAUCUUCUGCAUGUAGUCACCUUUCUAGCUUUGGAGAGUAGGCUGAGGCCUAGGGUGAACAUGCCAGCUAAUGGGAAAUCACCCCAGAGGUUCCCAGCCGUGAUUCCAGGAGAACCUGGCAGAUCAACUGAGAGUUAGACAGUGAGAGCAAGAGACAGAGAGAAAAGUCUUCCUUCUGUGGGUUCACCCCCCAAAUGGCCGCCACUGCCGGAGCUACGCCGAUCUGAAGCCAGGAGCCAGGUGCUUCCUCCUGGUCUCCCAUGCUGGUGCUUGGGCCGUCCUCCACUGCCUUCCUGGGCCACAGCAGAGAGCUGGACUGGAAGAGGAGCAACCGGGACAGAAUCCGGUGCCCCAACUGGGACUAGAACGUGGGGUGCCGGCGCUGCAGGUGGAGGAUUAGCCAAGUGAGCCGUGGCACCGGCCUACCUGAAUGUUUUAUAGUGAUGAAUAUUGUGGCUGAUUGGGGAACACUUCCCCUGACCACUAUUGUAAAACCAGAUCCUUGAUGAAAUUUUAAUGGAGCCUUUGCAUAGGAAUAUAAGAGUUGAUGGGAUUAAAGUGAAAGUUUGGGGAAUUUGUAUGAGUAAGACUUAUGUGAAGUGGUUGUAUAUCUUUUACCUGAUUAUAUUAGAGAUGGCCACUGUAUCUAACUGUGGAAUGUUUCUCUCCCUAGCUUUGUAACAUUACCCUUCAGGCAAUAUUACUUGGACAUGCUAGAUGGAAACCAAUGAUAAGGCCAUGUAGUACAGAAGAGGAAUGCUGCUUUAGACUAAUUCUCUGUGCUAUGUAACCCUAUGUGGAGCAUAGAACAGGGGCUUAUGGCAAAAGCAGGUGAGCGCCUCCCAGUGGUAACUAUUGGGACUUUGGACUAAAGAAUUUCUAUUUGAGGGGCAAUUACAGCUAUUGGAAAUGAAUUGAAAAUCCCUAUCAUUGAAGGACAUAAAAUAAUUUUGAAACCUAAAAUAUCUAUCAUGUCUUGGGUGAUGGAGAAAUGUUCUAAUGAGGAGGGCAGCACUCAGAAGAGUUCUCUAAUAAAAUGGAAAUGAUUUACACAAUAUGCCACCAGUGUAAGGCAGAGACUUAGCUUAUCCACAUAAAACGUCACUUGGAUAGUGCCCUAGCUUUCCUCUGAUCGACAAAGCUGCAUGGAUUGUGGAUGUCAGUUCAAAGGUGAGCAGACAACAUCCUGUUUUGAAAGCUACCACUAUUAUUAAAGAAGGUAAAAACAAAUCAGUGAGUCGGCUGAAUUGCUUGCUGUCUGUUCCUAGCAGUGAAGGAAGAGUUGACCAAUAUUAAAAGUCCUUGUGUUUGGCUUUUUAAUGAUGCAUGGAUGGAUAGUUGCUAAUGGCCUGGAAGGGCAAUGGAGAACUGGCCUACAAAAGGUUUGCUCCUAUGGAAAGCAGUAUGGGAAUCUGAGGGGUGUAUUAGAGUAGGAAAUAUCACUGCUCAUCAGAAGAACCUCUUUCAGCAUUAGAAGGCUAUUGGAACCAACAAGCAGAUAGCACAGUGUUCUUGCUUAGGGUGGCCACACAUGUCCAUGAAAUGAAUGGAUAUGGGAUAACUGCAGCAAUGAAGAGAGGGAUACAAAUCUGGGCUAUGAGGGAACUUUAAAAAAUUGGUGGCAAAUGGAAUGAAAAGAUAAGUUUAGGGGAAGGUGUUUGGUGCAAUGGCUGAGACACCUACAUCCCAUAUUGGACUGCAGGGAUUCAAGUACUGGCUCCAGGUUCUUGUUAAUGCAUACCCUGGGAGGUACCAGGUGAUGGCUUGAGUGUUGAGUCCCUGCUACCUAUGGUAUUGAUUUCUGGGCUCUUGGCUUUGGCCUGGCCUAGUCUUGGCUCUUGUGGGCAUUAGGGGAGUGAACUUGUGGAUGGAAGAUCUCCCUGUGUCUGUUUCUAUCUCUCUGCUUUUCAAAUAAAUAAAAAGAAACACUUAAAAUAUUUUUCAAAGGUAAAUUUAUUUUGGUGCAAAAAUUUUUGAGAUCCAUGCGUAUUAGGGGCCUUCAAAAAGUUCAUGAAAAAAUGUAUAUUAUGAAAAAAUGCACAAAGGUUUCAAAAAUAUUUUUAAAAGAUUUAUUUACUUAUUUGAAAGGCAGAGUUACAGAGAGGCAGAGUCAGAGAGAGAGAGAGACAGAGACAGAGAGACAGAGAGACAUCUUCCAUCUGCUGGCUUAUCCCCAAGUGGCUGUAACGGCCAGAGCUGGGCUGAUCUGAACGAAGCCAGGAGUCAGUAGCUUCUUCCAGGUUUCCCACAUGGGUGCAGGGACCCAAGCAUUUGGGCCAUCUUCUACUGCUUUCCCGGGCCAUCAGCAGGGAGCUGGAUCAGAAGAGGAGCAGCUAAACUUGAACUGGCAUCCCUAUAGGGUGCCGACACUACAGGCAGUAGCUUUACCUGCUAUGCCACAGUGCCAGUCCCUCAAAAAUAUUUUGCACCAAAAGGAACUCAUCUUUGAAUUCCAUUUUCUAUGCACUUUCUGAAGUGCCCUGCUAAAGUCAGCCCUCUGUGUCUUCAAGCUCUGCCUCUGCAUAUUCAACCAGCUGUGGUUUAAAAGUAUUUGACAAAAAGGCUCUGUGUAAACUAAAUAUGUGCAGGCCUUUUUGUUGUCAUUGUUUCCUAAAUGACACAGCACAACAGCUCUUUACAGAGCAUUUACAUUGUAUUAGUUAUUAUAAGUAAGCUGGGGGUGAUGUAAAGCAUAUGGGAGGAUUCACGUGGGUCCUAUGCAAGUUCUAUGUCAUUUUAUCUAAGGAACUUGAGCGUUUUGUGGACUUUGGUAUUUGUGGAGGGUUCUGAAGCCAAUCUCCUGUGGGACAAGUGCCUUGUUUUACACCCCCUGAAGCACAAAGUGCCAAUAAUAGCUGUUGUGUUUGCCAGCAAAAGAGACAGCGACAGCAGAUGGCUAGUUGGCAGAUUUCCCAAUGGGAAGGCCUUACGGCAGCCAAGUGAGGCUGUUGCUUAUAGCCCUUGGGGCUACAAAUGGGUCCGGACAGGCAUAGAGACUGAGUAGAGCCUAGGCUUUGCUUACCCCCUGGUAGUUGCAAAUACUCAGAGUGCUAUAAAGGAAGUUGAACAGGAGAUAUUGGUACCAGUUUGGACCAUGGAGGCCCAUUUCUUCAGGCCAAGAAACACACUUCAUCCUCAGAGACCUGGAACAGGCAGUGGACACACUGAUUGUUUAAAGGGGCAGCAGGAAGACACAUAGGCAUGAAGGACUGGCUUACACGUCUUUAUGAGUGUGUGCUCACACUCAACACGAGGGGGAUGAAGUAGCCCCACCAAUUACAUUCUGUUUUGCUGAUGGCUCUGGGGACGAGGGCGUGGAGGGAGAAGCUGGUAUGACUGUGCAGUUCUUUCCCAAGUGGGAGGUUGCUGAUGUGAUGGCUGUACUUGUUUCUUUCUUCCCCACAUCACCUCAACUUUAUUUUUUUCCUACCCGAUAUGGUGGUUGCAGGACCUCGGCUGCAACUGCAAAUGCCUGAAGCAGGGAUGAAUCCUAAGCAACUAUGUUUUAAAAACUUGAAUCCCUGGAGCUUGCCAGGGUGGGUCCUGCUUUCACCUCAUGUGGCAAAGCUGGGGCUCACAGUGAAUGUAGCCAUGUUUUGUCCUGGGAGAAUAACCCACUAAUUCUGCAUCUUGUGAUUUUUCUUACCCUGUCUGAAUGACAGUGGACUUGGGGAGGUACUGGCUAGACUACUACUGCUGCCUGCAAUCUAGACAAUCUAUAUGGCCAAAUCCAAUGUCCUCUCUGAGGGUAGAAAAGAUUAGGUAAGAGAAGGAUAGUAAAAGAGUGAGUAGGAGCUGGCAUUGUGUCUCAGCAGGUUAAGCUGCCGCCUGUGAUGCCAACAUCCCAUAUGGAGCCAGUUCAUAUCCCAGCAGCUCCACUUCCAAUCCUGCUUCCUGCUGAUGGCCCGGAAAAAGCAGCAGAAGCUGGACCAAGUGCUUGGGCCCUUGCACCCAUGUGGAAGACCCAGGCUUUGGCCCUACCCAGUCCUGACUAUUGGCUGCCAUUUGGGGAGUGAACCAGCAGAUGGAAGAUUGUUUCUCUCUCUCUCUCUCUCUCUCUCUCUCUAAUUCUGCCUUUCAGAUAAGUAAAUAAAUCUUUUUUAAAAAGAGUGAAUAAAUGGAUUAUGUGAUGAGGGAAACCCAAUAUUAAAUUCAUUCCUCAAAAGAGACCAGUACAAGAGAUGAUACUGUCUCUUAGUUCAAUUAUUCUACAUGCCCAGAAGGUGAAGCUGUGUUUGCUGGGACAGCUCUUGCUUUCGGAACCUGACAAGAUCAAAUGGAAUCCUGUAAACUGGAGUAGCCUCAUACUGAGUGACAUUUUCCUAUGAAACGAUGAUGGACUAGAAUAAUUAUCAAUGACUUAACAAGACUCUAAUAAUGUGUCUUUCAACUUCUAUGAUUCUUUUGCUAUAAGGGUUCUGUGGUCAAAGGGCAAGGGUGGUCGAUGGUAUAAUGUAGUUGUCCAUCUUUUUCUUAAUCAUAUUUUAUAUUCUGGAUUUUAAUUCCUUGUCAUUAUAUGCGUGGAAAGUAUCUUCUUCCAGCCUGUGGCUUUUCUUUUCCCUUUCUGUGGUGUGCUUUGAUGAAUAGAUUUUGUAUUGUUUGAAUAAUUUAUACAGGAAACUAUUUCAUGCUUAGAGAAAAGUUGUUAGUAAAAAAGUAUCUUUUUUUCUGAAUUAUUUUAAAGUAAGUUGCUGGCUUGAUGUCACAUCAUCCCUGAAUACUUUGAAGACCUACUGCAUAACCACAGGACAACCAGCAAAAAUAAGAAAUGCACACAACUACCAUCUAACCCCUUACCCCAUUCGCAUUUCACCUGUUGUCCCAAUAGUGUUCAUCAUCACAAAAUAUCCAAUUUGGGAUUACAUUUGGCACUUAGUUGUCAAUAUUUUAGUGUUCUUAGGUCAGGAAGAGCUCCUGACCUUUUGAGGGUUUCAAGGCAGUUACUUUGUAGACUGUCCCUCACUGUGGAUGUGUCUCAUGGGUCCUCAUGAUCGGACUCAGGAGUCUUUGUCAGUCAUGUCCCAGAGGCGAUGCUGUGUCCUGGGUGGCUGGUGACAGCAGUUUGUUCUGCCCCCAGUGGUAUUCGCCAGGAUCACUGGAUGAAAGUGAGUCUGCCAGGCUUCUCCACCACAGAGUUCCUCUCUUCCCCUUUGUAAGGAAUAAGUAGUUUGUGGAAAGGCACUUUGAGGUCGUGUAAAUACUCUCCUCAUUAACAUUUUAAUGUAUUAGUUUUUAUAUCAGCAUGGAUUCAUGGUUCCCUAUUUUAUUCUGUGAGUUAUAACGUUACUGUUAUUAAUUUAUCAUUGAAAUCACACUAUUUUUAUUAUAUGAAAUAGGAUAUAGAUGAAGAAUGAAGUAAUACUACAGGAAAACAGUGAAUCUGAAUAGUCAUACAAAUAAUUUUAUAGGGGCCAACAUUGUAGCCCAGGGGGGUUAAGCCACAGCUUGUGAUGCCAACGUCCCAUAUUAGAGUGCCUGUUUCAGUCUUGGCUGCUCCAGCAGUCUAGCUUCCUGCUAAUGCACCUGGGAAACCGUGGAUGAUGGCCCAAGUACUUGGGUCCUUGCUAUCCAUGUGGGAAACCAGGAUGGAGUUCCUAGCUCCUGGCUUUGGACUGGCCCAGACUUGGCUGUUGUUGCCAUUCGGAGAGUGAACUAGUGAAUGGAAGAGCUCUCUCUCUCUCUAACUCUGACUUUCAUAUAAAUAAAUAAAUCUUUAAAAAAAGAUUAUAUGGGGUCUGGUGUUGUAGGGUAGUGGUUAACACCACUGCCUGUGAUUUCAACAUCCCGU